UGGGCGGAAGCCACUUUUGGCAUCUAACUGUUAAUUAGAAGGUCGCAGCUACCCAUCUGCCUGCCCAG
rnacentral:tRNA from 1 species